UUUAUUUGGCGACGUCUAUUUUUUUGUUUGUGUCUGCUUUCUUCAGCAAAAUAAUUUUGUUACUUCAUACGACUGCACAUUUUUACCAAAACACGUGCUAUUUUUCAAUAUCGACUCUGUUACAUAAAAAUAGAUAACGUGUCCAGUAAUCAGUGAAUACAUAACCUGUAAACAAAAAACAAAUUGCAAAAAAAAUGGUGCUGCCUUCAGAAAUGGUAAUAAAGCAGGAAAAAGAGGAGCAUAACCCUGCAGAUUAUUUGAGCCCAGACUUCGAAGUUACAGUAAAAGUUGAAGUGGAAAGCUCUCAAAUCAGGGAAUAUGAAGUUAAAACUGAAUUUAUAGGUGAUGAAAACACUGAGGUUUUUGAGUCUGAGGAGGUAGAAUUCGAUGGCGUUGAGUAUGAAGAUUUGAUACAGUACACACGGGUUACGUGUGCGAUUUGUAAUGAGGAGUUUUGUGAAAGGUAUUCACUACUGCGGCACAAUUUGAAACAUUUAAGACUCCUAAUUGAACCAUUGGGAACAAUAAUUCAGAAAGAUAAUAAUAACGUCCCAAUUAAAAGAAAGAAGUCACUGGUAACGAAAGAACUGCAUGAGUGUAAAAUAUGUGGCAAAAUCCAAACGUACAAAACUUGGCAUUCCCACAUGAAAGAGGUUCAUGGUACGGAGGAAUACGAGUGCAGCGUUUGCUCUGCUGUGUUCAAAUGUGCGAGGUACGCACGUAAGCACAUCUACAGUAUACAUAUGAACAAGAAAUUCAAAGGCAGUCGGCAAAUAGAAGGAGUUGAAGUAAAAUGUACCUUAUGUCCUGCUAUACUUAAGAGUAAAUAUGCAUUAUCAACGCACAUGAGAAACUGUCACAGUGAGAAAGCUCAAUGUGAAAUCUGCCAGUCUGUGUUGAAAAGUCGGUCGUAUUUGCUGAUUCAUAUGAACAGAGUACAUUACAACGAUGGCAAAGAGCACAAAUGUCACUGCGGAAAGAAGUUUCGGUCGCCGAGAUAUUUGAAAAUACACAUGAAAAAUUCCAAACAUGCAAGGAGAUGAGAUUGGUGGAUCGUUUUUAUUUUCAAUAUUAUUUGAAACCAAAAUUGUGAAGUGCUCUUAUACAAAAAGUUUAAAAACUUUUUGUAUAAGAGCACUUCACAAGCAUACAUAUUACUCCAGCAGCAUGUAUGGAUAAUUUCUGGGCAAUUACCUUUUAAAUUGCUCAUUAAAAAUAUUAUUUACGUUGUUAACUGUGGCAGGUUCCUGAGUUACAAACGAUCUUUUUUCCUAUUUUAAGUUAAUCUUGUCAAGUAUUAAUAUUUGAAGCAAGUAUUUGUUAUUAGAAUAACAGUUUUUGUUAAUUACUUCUAAGACUCGUUAACUCUAUAAAUAAAAAGUUUUACUAUCGUC